UACGUAGGGGGCAAGCGUUGUCCGGAUUUAUUGGGCGUAAAGAGCGUGUAGGCGGCCAGACAGGUCAGCUGUGAAAACUCGAGGCUCAACCUCGAGACGUCGGUUGAAACCGUAUGGCUAGAGUCCGGAAGAGGAGAGUGGAAUUCCCGGUGUAGCGGUGAAAUGCGCAGAUAUCGGGAAGAACACCGGUGGCGAAGGCGGGUCUCUGGGCAGUAACUGACGCUGAGGAGCGAAAGCGUGGGGAGCGAACAGG
rnacentral:rRNA from 1 species